UCUGUCCCUAUUGUUGAAUAUAAACAGGCUCUGAUUUCCACCGUUGUUGAAUAUAAACAUGCUUUGAUUUCCACCGUUGUUGAAUAUAAACGUGCUUUGAUUUGAUGGUUGUUUAUGAAUAUUUAAAAUCCUUUGCUAGCUCUUCAGAUGGAACCAGAACCUCCUGUUACCAACUGGAAACUUCCAAUACAAGAAAGCUUGAAGGACAGGAGGAACGCAGGAGCUAAUUAUCCGGCCAUGUUGACUCUCGUGGUGUCUCCGGAGGUCCACCUUCCGCUGGAAGCCCUUGGCACAGAUCUCGCAGCCGAAGGGCUUGAAUCCCGUGUGCUUGCGGCUGUGUGUGAUCAGGUUUGAGCUCUGGCUGAAGGCCUUGCCACACACCUGGCACUUGUGGGGCUUCUCUCCUACAAAAAAACACACACGUACACACACGCACGCACGUACAUGCACACACCAUACACACACACGCACACAGAUGUACAUUCACAGUCAGUCUAGCCAUUGUGUAAUUGACAGUGCAAAUAUAUUUGUGACUUUCUUGAGAACAUGCCUACCUGAAGAAAAUUAGCAUUCUGAUAACUAAUACCACUGGUAAAAUAACCCACAUGAAUACAAUACAAUUAUUUACUAUUUCUACAACUGAUGUUCAGAAAGUGCCUGCCAUAUCUUUUUUUACUGGACCACAACAGCAGGGCCAGCCCUAUAAACGCGAAUGUCUGUGACUGACUGAGUGACUGAGUGAUGAAGUUACACCAUUGGUCGGGCGAGUUAUGAACUUACACCAUUGGUCGGCCGGUCCAGCCAUAUGCUAGGUUUUGACCUGGUCUUGUUUCAAAACUGCACACUACCGAAGCACAGACAAAGGUAAAGGCAAGGCAAAGGUAAAUAUAUUUUGGCCCAAUGCUAUAAAAUUUCAGUUGAGCGGAUUCAUGAUUCUAAUAAGUAAUUAUCACCAUGAAAAAGCACAGACAUAACAAUGACUUGGGGGAAAGAAUCAUACUAUUGUUCAGAUUUGUAAAACAGUAAUAAACAUUGGUAAGUUUUACGACGUUUGCUGAUAGGAUUCUUUCAGAACAUUUUCAGCAAAGUGGAAGAACUAGCUAUGCAAAUACGCAGGCUGAUAGUUUAAGGGUUUUUUUUUUUCUUAAUUUGCUUUAUCAGCCAGAGUCACAUUGCAACUAGAAUCUACUAACUGUACCUCUUUCAUUUGAAAAUGCAUACUACAUUAGAAAGAACAAACCACCAGACAAAGUCAGUCAAAAUGGAUUGAAAGAAAUAUUCAGAACAAAUUGUAUGAGAUUGCAUGAAGUUGGCACAGAGCAUGCUGUUUAUAUUUAUUUGACUGGAUAACAGGCACCUUUCCCCUUUUCUGAAAAACAAUGUUUCUUUGCCUAAAAGCAGCAACCUUUUUCAGCCAAUCAGUAAUUUGUCACUAGCUAAUUCUGGGCACUUGCUUUGCCUCAUGAAUAUUCAUAAUAUUCAGUACCCUCCCAAAUAACUCAUUCCCUUGAUAAAGAUGAGCAAAGAAAGAUAUAUAAAAUAAACAAUCCACAUAAUUACUGCAGCAACAGGUAACUGCAAAAGUAAACUGAAGCACUUGCAUAAAUGGGGGACACAAAGUCUUUUGAAAGCAGGUGCUGCCUUCCACACUGGUAUGACUGCAUUAAGCAAGCGAGUAACAUUCCAGCUUGCUCACGGUUGUGUAUAAAAAGGCUGGGCAGGCUCACAUGCAUAGUAUUCUGGCUGGAAGAAAGAAUCUCAUUGGCUGGGAAAGAGCAGUGGACGUUGGGGGCACGAUUGGCUGGAGCUUCAGUGACUAAGAUUGCUGAACCUGCUGAUCUGUCAUGAGGAGCAGUGGCUAAGACUGCUGAACCUGCUGAUCUGUCAUAAGGAGCAGCGACUAAGACUGCUGAACCUGCUGAUCUUUCAUGAGGAGCAGUGACUGAGACUGCUGAACCUGCUGAUGUUUCGUGAGGAGCAGUAACUGAGACUGCUGAACCUACUGAUCUUUCAUGAGGAGCAGUGACUAAGACUGCUGAACCUGCUGAUCUUUCAUGAGGAGCAGCAACUAAGACUGCUGAACCUGCUGAUCUUUCAUGAGGAGCAGCAACUAAGACUGCUGAACCUGCUGAUCUUUCAUGAGGAGCAGUGGCUAAGGUGAUGUUUCCAUGGAAGUCUGAUGGAAAAGCAUCAAUUGGGAGUAGGUCUAAAGUGCAUGUUUCUGGACCGUGCUUUGAUUCGCUACUCUGAGUCAGCUGACUGCAAAUAUCCAACAUGAGCAGACAUUUUCAACAAGAUCAGACUGUCGAAUGCUUUACAGAGUGGAAUACUACGGUUGGUGCUUAUUUUGGUAGUUACUUGUACAGUAUAUGCUAAAAUGAAUGGGAAAAUAAUAUUCUUCACACUAAUAUAAUUGCACCAAGGUUUUGGAUAAGAUUUUUAAGAUUUUGUUUAGCAAAUAUUAUUUUAUUGUCCAAAAAAGAUAUGUUAAACUCACACCUCCAAUAAUCUUUAAUAAUCCAACAAAAAAUGGUUAUCUCACAAUGAAGACAAUUUUGUAGCUGUCAAUAAUAAGAAUUAACAAUGCACAUAUUUGCUAAGUGUUGCUAAGGCUGCAAUGCUAAUAAUCAAUUUGAAAUUUUUAAUUUUUGCCAUUCAAGUGGCACUUUUAUCCAGAGGGACUUACACAGAUUAUAUUUUCAUACACAAUCCAUUUAUACAGCUGGAUGUUUCAGUGGGAAAAUGAAUGCCGUCUUAUAGUGUUUUAUGAGAACGAAGUCCCACUGACUGUUCCCCAACUGGGCACCAAACCCACAACCAUAGAGUCACAAGCUCAGUUUCCUCACCAUUACCGGUGACCUGAAACGGCACGCAGCGGCUACCCCCAGAAAGGCUACUGCCACAGCCGAGCUGGUGGACUGCUUAUGAACUGCAGGGCCUUCUAAAAAUUAGCAAUUAAUUUAUUUUAAGUUCUAGUGUUGUAUUUGUUCUGUUGGUAAAACCAAGCUGGAAAGCAAAGAAACACAGGCUGGUAAAGCACAUGACCAAGAUCAGGUGCAUUUCUCCCCAAACAUUCCACCACAGGUGACUGCUCAUGAACAGAAUUAGACAAGCUGGUUCCUCCCCCAACCCCCCCCCCCCCCGCUCUGUCCUAACGGCGAUGCACCCCACCUGUGUGGGCUGAUCACAUUUCACGCCGCAUAAAUCUGAUGUGAAGCUGACAGCCAGCUGUAAUCUGACAGCCGGGUCACAGACACCGCUGGCCUAAAGUAGGGAUUGGAGGAUGAGCUUUUUCUGUGUUUACCAUCAAGAGCUGGUGUGCUUCUUCAUGUCGGACUUCUGGUGGAACCUCUUGCCGCAGUACUGGCAGGGGUAGGGCCGCGUGUCCGAGUGGAUCAGCAGGUGGGUGGACAGGGUGGACGAGCGCUUGAAGGUCUUCCCGCAC